rnacentral:rRNA from 1 species
AGCGAACGCUGGCGGCAGGCUUAACACAUGCAAGUCGAACGGGCGUAGCAAUACGUCAGUGGCAGACGGGUGAGUAACGCGUGGGAACAUACCUCUUGGUUCGGAACAACACAGGGAAACUUGUGCUAAUACCGGAUAAGCCCUUACGGGGAAAGAUUUAUCGCCGAGAGAUUGGCCCGCGUCUGAUUAGCUAGUUGGUAGGGUAAUGGCCUACCAAGGCGACGAUCAGUAGCUGGUCUGAGAGGAUGAUCAGCCACAUUGGGACUGAGACACGGCCCAAAACUCCUACGGGAGGCAGCAGUGGGGAAUAUUGGACAAUGGGCGCAAGCCUGAUCCAGCCAUGCCGCGUGAGUGAUGAAGGCCCUAGGGUUGUAAAGCUCUUUUGUACGGGAAGAUAAUGACGGUACCGUAAGAAUAAGCCCCGGCUAACUUCGUGCCAGCAGCCG